GCGGGCUAUGCGAACGCGGGGACGGAGAGAAACCGUCAAUGAGGAAAGUCCGAGCGUUUCAGGAACAGGGUGCCGGAGAAAUCCCGGUGAAGGCGACUUUAAGGAAAGUGCAACAGAAAAUUACCGCCCUUUAAUUGGGGUAAGGUUGAAAAGGCGGGGUAAGAGCCCACCGCUUUUGCGGUAACGCAGAAGGCAAUGUAAACCCCACCCGACGCAAGAUUGACAAGUUUUUUCAUAUGGGAGUUCCGCCGAAAGAACUUAUUAAAAUAUCGCUGGGGGAUAGCGGAGACGCUAUUCGUAGAUAAAUGUUCGCACACGACAGAACUCGGCUUAUCGGCCCGCUU
rnacentral:RNase_P_RNA from 1 species